GACGAACCGUGCGAACGUUGUUCGGAAUCACUGGGCUUAAAGGGCGCGUAGGCGGCAGAUCAAGUCCGGGGUGAAAUCCUCCAGCUCAACUGGAGAAGUGCCUUGGAUACUGAUGUGCUCGAGGGAGGCAGGGGUCCGCGGAACUUCUGGUGGAGCGGUGAAAUGCGUUGAUAUCAGAAGGAACGCCGGUGGCGAAAGCGGCGGACUGGAUCUCUUCUGACGCUGAGGCGCGAAAGCUAGGGGAGCAAACGGG
rnacentral:rRNA from 1 species